rnacentral:rRNA from 1 species
GACGAACGCUGGCGGCGUGCUUAAUACAUGCAAGUCGAGCGAGGCCCAUCCGGUGGCAACACCGGGGAAGGCCGAGCGGCGAACGGGUGAGUAACACGUGAGCAACCUGCCCCGAAGUCUGGAAUAACAUCGGGAAACCGGUGCUAAUACCGGAUCGCCCCACCUGACCGCAUGAUCGGGUGAGGAAAGAUUUAUCGCUUCGGGAGGGGCUCGCGGGCCUAUCAGCUAGUUGGUGGGGUAACGGCCUACCAAGGCGUCGACGGGUAGCUGGUCUGAGAGGACGACCAGCCACACUGGGACUGAGACACGGCCCAGACUCCUACGGGAGG